rnacentral:rRNA from 1 species
UUUUCCUACGGGGGGCAGCAGUGAGGAAUAUUGGUCAAUGGUCGGGCGACUGAACCAGCCAAGCCGCGUGAGGGAGGAAGGUACAGAGUAUCGUAAACCUCUUUUGUCAGGGAACAAAGGCGGGGACGUGUCCCCGGAUGAGUGUACCUGAAGAAAAAGCAUCGGCUACCUCCGUGCCAGCAGCCGCGGUAAUACGGAGGAUGCGGGCGUUAUCCGGAUUUAUUGGGUUUAAAGGG